AACUGAAAGGAAAUCACCCAAGGGAGCAGAAACAGGACUCGGUAGGAGCACAGAUCUUACAUACACUCAUCCAUGCGUGGGAUGAGAUAUCCUUGUGACGCUGUGAAAUGUCCACACCUGGGAAAGUUCUCAAGGAUGUCUGUCUGUCUUGUGGUGACGCCUGAAGGCUGUGGCUCAGUGCGAGGUCUUUCGAGGUGGGUAGGAUUAGGGGCGCAGCCCUGCCUAGUUACCUGGGCCACUUUGGAAAGGGAACUUCAAAUCUCUGAUGCCCAGCUUCUGCAUCUGUGAAAUAGGCAUCACUCUGUCGCUCUCCCGGGAUACUUGUGUGAAGAGAAUGUCGUGAGAGCUCCAGCAGGUGGUAGGAAUGUGAUCGACGGGAGACACAGUGAGGUGCCUCAGUGCACACUCAGGGAACCACUGACCCUCUCACCUACUAUCCUCUCCCCAGGGACCACGGGGAUCCCCCCCCUCGCUGUGGUCUUUGCCCUUCUCUUCCUGCUUGGAGCCUUCCUCAUCUACAAAUACACCCGGUGGGGCGGGUUCAGGAAAACAAGGGCUAAGUACCUGGGAGGAAAUGGGAGAAACAGAACGGGAAAGUGACAUCACAGGGUCAACACUGUCUCUGUCUCUUUCAUCCCCAGGGGCGGCUCCCGACAAGAUGACCCAAUGGUAGAGCCACUCAGCAAAUCCCAUCAGCCCAUACCGAACCCUUCCCCCACUAUUGCCUUGACCACUCAAGACCCCCUUUCUUACCUGAACCUUUCAUGUGCCCCCGACCAGCCCCGACGAUCAUCCCCAAGUGUCUCUCCACGUCCUCUCUUCUCAUGACCACCUUCCACUUCUCGCUCAAUGUUCUUCCCUUGGAUCCUCUCCUCGUGGACCACACUGUCCCCAACCACUUCUCCUCCUCAGCUCUCAAGACUUUGCUGAGCACCUGAAUGACGUGGGGACCCUCGUGUGGGGUGUAUGAGCUUGGAGGAGGUUGGGGGGGACUUUGGUUUACACAUAAUCUUGCUGGGCGCCUCACCUCCGCCUCCCCGCAAGGAUCCUGACGUCUCACUCCAAUUCCCUUUGUCUCCGGUGCCUCACUGUUUCUCUCUUUCAGCUCCUGCUCUUCUGAGGAAAAAGUGGGGACAAGUAAUCAGCCCGGGAAAGAGAGCGAUGAUACAGCCACAGCCAUGAUGAACCGUCCUCCUGCGUCGGAUGAAGCAUCCCAGGUCUCAAGAGCUGAGGAACCCCACGGAGUGACAUAUGCUGAGCCGGACAUCAGAGCCCUAAGUGAGGGUCCUUCCAGCCAGAUGGAACAGCCCCUAAAAACCUGUGUGUACUUGACCCUCAAGACAUAGCUGGGAGAGUGCCUGGAGCCCAGCAAACAAGAUCUUCCGAUGGAUGAUGGAGAGCCCUUGGGGCACCAGGCAAAUGGGGAUCCCUUUCCUCAAAUCUGCAAUGAAGACUCGUUUCCUUCUAAAAAUUUAUUUUUUUACAUGAGAGGUAUCAGGGCGCUGGGGUGGCUCAGUCGGUUGAGCGUCUGACUUCGGCCCAGGUCAUGAUCAUGAUCUCAUAGUUCAUGAGUUUGAGCCCCACGUCAUGCUCUGUGCUGACAGCUUGGAGCCUGGAGCCUGCUUUAGAUUCUGUGACUCCCUUUCUCUGUCUGUCC